GGGCGUGUAGCGCAGUUGGUAGCGCGUCUGCCUUGCAAGCAGAAGGUCACUGGUUCAAAUCCUGUCUUGUCCA
rnacentral:tRNA from 1 species